GGGAAGGUGACUCAGGGCUCUCCCUCCCCUCCCAGUGGGGAGCGUGUGUGUGGCCGGCUCCGCUGUCACUAGCGCUUGCUGACUGCUGGGCAGGUGCGGUGCGCGCUCGUGUCUUGCCGCUGCCCUGGAAAUCAGAACGUGACAUCAUUGUACUUGUGCAUGAGGAGGGGAAAGUGAAACUGACCAGCCAACUUACUUUUAUUGUCCAAACUUGAGUGUGAUUAAGAAAAGGAGAAGUCAUAAUAUCCACUUAUCCCAAUGAAAAUGGCCUUUAGCAAUUUGACAUCAAAAGCUGCACUGCUUUAUGAUGAAUGGAUUAAAC
rnacentral:lncRNA from 1 species